rnacentral:rRNA from 1 species
AUUGAACGCUGGCGGCAGGCCUAACACAUGCAAGUCGAACGGUAACAGGAAGAAGCUUGCUUCUUUGCUGACGAGUGGCGGACGGGUGAGUCAUGUCUGGGAAACUGUCUGAUGGAGGGGGAUUACUACUGGAAACGGCUGCUAAUACCGCAUAACGUCGCCAGACUAAAAAGGGGUGCAUUCGGGCCUCUUGUCAUCGGAUGUGCCCAGAUGGGAAUAGCUAGUAGGUGGGGUAACGGCUCCCCUAGGCGACGAUCCCUAGCUGGUCUGAGAGGAUGACCGGCCACACUGGAACUGAGACACGGUCAAGACUCCUACGGGAGGCAGCAGUGGGGAAUAUUGCACAAUGGGCGCAAGCCUGAUGCAGCCAUGCCACGUGUAUGAAGAAGGCCUUCGGGUUGUAAAGUACUUUCAGCGGGGAGAAAGGGAGUAAAGUUAAUACCUUUGCUCAUUGACGUUACCCGCAGAAGAAGCACCGGCUAACUCCGUG